ACACGGUGGAUGCCUUGGCAGUCAGAGGCGAUGAAG
rnacentral:rRNA from 1 species